rnacentral:rRNA from 1 species
UACGUAGGGCGCAAGCGUUGUCCGGAAUUAUUGGGCGUAAAGAGCUCGUAGGCGGUCUGUCGCGUCUGCCGUGAAAACCCGAGGCUUAACCUCGUGGCUUGCGGUGGAUACGGGCAGACUAGAGGUAGGUAGGGGAGACUGGAAUUCCUGGUGUAGCGGUGAAAUGCGCAGAUAUCAGGAGGAACACCGGUGGCGAAGGCGGGUCUCUGGGCCGAUACUGACGCUGAGGAGCGAAAGCGUGGGGAGCGAACAGG